rnacentral:sRNA from 1 species
AUCACGCCUUCGUCAGCCGCGCCGCAUUUUCGCCGCGAACGCGCCAAGCGAUGGCCAAGUUGCCGGGCUCAACUCCCCUCGUUGCCUCGACGGCCCGGCCUCAUGGAGUUCCGGAUACGUCAGCCCCCCAGCCCCCCGGGCUCGGUGAGGUCGGGCCUAUCGGUUCGAGGCUACCUAACGGCUGGCGGUUUCCGCUGGCCGUUUU